GUGCCAGCCGCCGCGGUAAUACCGGCAGCCCGAGUGAUGGCCGAUAUUAUUGGGCCUAAAGCGUUCGUAGCCGGCCUCGCAAGUCCGUCGGGAAAUCCAUCAGCCCAACUGAUGGGCGUCCGGCGGAAACUACAAGGCUUGGGACCGGAAGGCUCGAGGGGUACGUUCGGGGUAGGAGUGAAAUCCCAUAAUCCCGCACGGACCACCGAUGGCGAAAGCACUUCGAGAAAACGGAUCCGACAGUGAGGGACGAAAGCCAGGGUCUCCAACCGGAUUAGAAACCCUUGUAGUCC
rnacentral:rRNA from 1 species